rnacentral:rRNA from 1 species
GAUCAAUGGCUCAGGAUGAACGCUAGCUACAGGCUUAACACAUGCAAGUCGAGGGGCAGCAUGAACUUAGCUUGCUAAGUUUGAUGGCGACCGGCGCACGGGUGAGUAACACGUAUCCAACCUUCCGUUUACUCAGGGAUAGCCUUUCGAAAGAAAGAUUAAUACCUGAUAGUAUGGUGAGAUUGCAUGAUAACACCAUUAAAGAUUUAUUGGUAAACGAUGGGGAUGCGUUCCA